rnacentral:rRNA from 1 species
AGGACGAACGCUGGCGGCGUGCCUAACACAUGCAAGUCGAGCGAAGCAUAUGGAUUAGCUUGCUAAACUGUAUGACUGAGCGGCGAACGGGUGAGUAACACGUGGGUGAUCUACCUGAAAGUCUGGGAUAACAGUUCGAAAGGGCUACUAAUACCGGAUGACAUUGGUGCUGUAGAGGCAUCAAUCAAAGCGUUACGGAGCGCUUUCAGAUGAGCCCGCGUCCCAUUAGUUAGUUGGUAGGGUAACGGCCUACCAAGGCGACGAUGGGUAGCCGGUCUGAGAGGAUGGUCGGCCACACUGGAACUGAGACACGGUCCAGACUCCUACGGGAGGCAGCAGUGGGGAAUUUUGCGCAAUGGGGGCAACCCUGACGCAGCGACGCCGCGUGAGCGAAGAAGGCCUUCGGGUUGUAAAGCUCUGUUGAGAGGGAAGAUAGUGACGGUACCUCUUAAGCAAGCCCCGGCUAACUACGUGCCAGCAGCCGCGGU